CGCGGGGUGGAGCAGUCUGGUAGCUCGUUGGGCUCAUAACCCAAAGGUCGCAAGUUCAAAUCUUGCCCCCGCAACCA
rnacentral:tRNA from 11 species